AAAGUCCACUAGGGGUGCCAUUUGGCUGAGAUAAGGAAUUCCUUUAUCCCUUUGAACCUGAUCUAGUUCAUACUAGCGUAGGAAAGUGGAGGUCGGUUGUU
rnacentral:ncRNA from 2 species